rnacentral:rRNA from 1 species
UACGGGGGGGGCAAGCGUUGUUCGGAAUUACUGGGCGUAAAGGGUCUGUAGGUGGCCAAUUAAGUCAGACGUGAAAUCCCUCGGCUUAACUGGGGAACUGCGUCUGAGACUGGAUGGCUCGAGUGCAGGAGAGGAAUGCGGAAUUCCAGGUGUAGCGGUGAAAUGCGUAGAUAUCUGGAGGAACACCGGUGGCGAAGGCGGCAUUCUGGACUGCAACUGACACUGAAAGACGAAAGCCAGGGGAGCAAACGGG